GUGUUCUUUUAACGUUGAUGCACUGCUUUAAGAGGCUAACACAGAUGAGUAGUCUCAUAAAACCCAGGGAAAAAAUUGCAGAACACAUCUUUGGAUCCUGCCUAGAAUCACAGUU
rnacentral:snoRNA from 1 species